GAUGAAUGCUAGCUACAGGCUUAACACAUGCAAGUCGAGGGGAAACGAUAUUGGAAGCUUGCUUCCGAUAGGCGUCGACCGGCGCACGGGUGAGUAACGCGUAUCCAACCUGCCCAUCACUUGGGGAUAACCUUGCGAAAGUAAGACUAAUACCCAAUGAUAUCUCUAGAAGACAUCUGAAAGGGAUUAAAGAUUUAUCGGUGAUGGAUGGGGAUGCGUCUGAUUAGCUUGUUGGCGGGGUAACGGCCCACCAGGGCGACGAUCAGUAGGGGUUCUGAGAGGAAGGUCCCCCACAUUGGAACUGAGACACGGUCCAAACUCCUACGGGAGGCAGCAGUGAGGAAUAUUGGUCAAUGGACGAGAGUCUGAACCAGCCAAGUAGCGUGCAGGAUGACGGCCCUAUGGGUUGUAAACUGCUUUUAUAAGGGAAUAAAGUGAGCCUCGUGAGGCUUUUUGCAUGUACCUUAUGAAUAAGGACCGGCUAAUUCCGUGCCAGCAGCCGCCGUAA
rnacentral:rRNA from 1 species